rnacentral:rRNA from 1 species
GCGGCAGGCUUAACACAUGCAAGUCGAGCGCCUCGCAAGAGGAGCGGCAGACGGGUGAGUAACGCGUGGGAAUCUACCCAUCUCUACGGAACAACUCCGGGACGAUCCGUAGCUGGUCUGAUACGUCCUUCGGGAGAAAGAUUUAUCGGAGAUGGAUGAGCCCGCGUUGGAUUAGCUAGUUGGUGGGGUAAUGGCCUACCAAGGCGACGAUCCAUAGCUGGUCUGAGAGGAUGAUCAGCCACAUUGGGACUGAGACACGGCCCAAACUCCUACGGGAGGCAGCAGUGGGGAAUAUUGGACAAUGGGCGAAAGCCUGAUCCAGCCAUGCCGCGUGAGUGAUGAAGGCCCUAGGGUUGUAAAGCUCUUUCAACGGUGAAGAUAAUGACGGUAACCGUAGAAGAAGCCCCGGCUAACUUCGUGCCAGCAGCCGCGGUAAUACGAAGGGGGCUAGCGUUGUUCGGAAUUACUGGGCGUAAAGCGCACGUAGGCGGAUUGUUAAGUUAGGGGUGAAAUCCCAGGGCUCAACCCUGGAACUGCCUU